GCCUGGCUGGCUCAGUCGGUAGAGCACGGAACUCUUGAUUUUGGGGUUGUGGGUUCGAGCUCCAUGUUGGGUG
rnacentral:tRNA from 1 species